rnacentral:rRNA from 1 species
UACGUAGGGUGCAAGCGUUUGUCCGGAAUUAUUGGGCGUAAAGAGCUCGUAGGCGGUCUGUUGCGUCGGCUGUGAAAACCCGGGGCUCAACCCCGGGCCUGCAGCCGAUACGGGCAGACUAGAGUUCGGCAGGGGAGACUGGAAUUCCUGGUGUAGCGGUGAAAUGCGCAGAUAUCAGGAGGAACACCGGUGGCGAAGGCGGGUCUCUGGGCCGAAACUGACGCUGAGGAGCGAAAGCGUGGGGAGCAAACAGG